rnacentral:rRNA from 1 species
AGAGUUUGAUCAUGGCUCAGGAUGAACGCUGGCGGCGUGCCUAAUACAUGCAAGUGAAACGGGUAUCUUCGGAUACCAGUCGCGGACGGGUGAGUAAUACAUAGGCAACCUGCCUUUAUGAGGGGGAUAACCGAGGGAAACUUUGGCUAAUACCGCAUGAAGACUCUAAGGCAUCUUAGAGGGAUAAAAGUUGGGAAACAACGCAUGAAGAUGGGCUUAUGGCGCAUUAGCUAGUUGGUGAGAUAGAAGCCCACCAAGGUAAUGAUGCGUAGCCGACCUGAGAGGGUGAACGGCCACAUUGGGACUGAGACACGGCCCGAACUCCUACGGGAGGCAGCAGUAGGGAAUUUUCGGCAAUGGGGGAAACCCUGACCGAGCAACGCCGCGUGAAUGAAGAACGUAUUUCGGUAUGUAAAGUUCUUUUAUUAAGGAAGAAUAUCACGGAUAGGAAAUGAUCUGUGAGUGACGGUACUUAAUGAAUAAGCCCCGGCUAACUAUGUGCCAGCAGCGGC